CCUACGGGUGGCUGCAGUGGGGAAUAUUGGACAAUGGGGGGAACCCUGAUCCAGCCAUGCCGCGUGUGUGAAGAAGGCCCUCGGGUUGUAAAGCACUUUCAGUGAGGAAGAACGCCUGGUGGUUAAUACCCAUCAGGAAAGACAUCACUCACAUAAGAAGCACCGGCUAACUCCGUGCCAGCAGCCGCGGUAAUACGGAGGGUGCGAGCGUUAAUCGGAAUUACUGGGCGUAAAGCGCGCGUAGGUGGCUUGAUAAGCCGGUUGUGAAAGCCCCGGGCUCAACCUGGGAACGGCAUCCGGAACUGUCAAGCUAGAGUGCAGGAGAGGAAGGUAGAAUUCCCGGUGUAGCGGUGAAAUGCGUAGAGAUCGGGAGGAAUACCAGUGGCGAAGGCGGCCUUCUGGACUGACACUGACACUGAGGUGCGAAAGCGUGGGUAGCAAACAGGAUUAGAUACCCUGGUAGUC
rnacentral:rRNA from 1 species